GAAAUUCUUUACGCGGUCUUAUUUUUCUCAACUAAAUUUUUUAUAGUGUAUACAACUGGUUUUUCUUACUUUAGCAUUGGACCUUUGUUUUAAGAAUGUGUUUCUAAUUUUAUUGCUAUAAAGGAAGAAUUUGAAAGAAUGCCACCUUUUUUGGCACUUUUUUCUUCUAUUUGACAUUUUUUUAUCCUCACUUCAUAGCUAAGUAUAGUUGGCAUCCCUGGUUAUAAUGAUACAAUUAGCGGUAUCGAAAGAAGGUACAUAUGGUAAUCAAUAGUAUAUGUAGCGUUCAUGAACCAAAAAUAUAACAUCACCUAAUCAAAGAAGCAAGAAGAAAGUUUAUUUCUGAGCGUUUUUGGCAUCUGCAGAAGAAUGAAAACAAA